CUACGGGGUGCUGCAGUGAGGAAUAUUGCACAAUGGGGGAACCCUGAUGCAGCAACGCCGCGUGGAGGAUGACGCAUUUCGGUGUGUAAACUCCUUUUAUAUGUCAAGAGAAUGACGGUAGCAUAUGAAUAAGCACCGGCUAACUCCGUGCCAGCAGCCGCGGUAAUACGGAGGGUGCAAGCGUUACUCGGAAUCACUGGGCGUAAAGGACGCGUAGGCGGGUUGGAAAGUCAGGUGUGAAAUCCUACAGCUUAACUGUAGAACUGCACUUGAAACUUCUAAUCUAGAGUAUGGGAGGGGGAGAUGGAAUUAGUGGUGUAGGGGUAAAAUCCGUAGAUAUCACUAGGAAUACCUAAAGCGAAGGCGAUCUCCUGGAACAUUACUGACGCUAAGGCGUGAAAGCGUGGGGAGCAAACAGGAUUAGAUACCCCGGUAGUC
rnacentral:rRNA from 1 species